GACGAACGCUGGCGGCGUGCUUAACACAUGCAAGUCGAACGGAAAGGCCUUUUCGGAGGUACUCGAGUGGCGAACGGGUGAGUAACACGUGGGUGAUCUGCCCUGCACUCUGGGAUAAGCCUGGGAAACUGGGUCUAAUACCGGAUAGGACCGCACUUUAGUGUGUGUGGUGGAAAGUUUUUUCGGUGUAGGAUGAGCCCGCGGCCUAUCAGCUUGUUGGUGGGGUAAUGGCCUACCAAGGCGGCGACGGGUAGCCGGACUGAGAGGUUGGUCGGCCACAUUGGGACUGAGAUACGGCCCAGACUCCUACGGGAGGCAGCAGUGGGGAAUAUUGGACAAUGGGCGCAAGCCUGAUGCAGCGACGCCGCGUGGGGGAUGACGGCCUUCGGGUUGUAAACUCCUUUCGCCAGGGACGAAGCGUUUUGUGACGGUACCUGGAGAAGAAGCACCGGCUAACUACGUG
rnacentral:rRNA from 1 species